rnacentral:rRNA from 1 species
GGAUUAGAUACCCUGGUAGUCCACGCUGUAAACGAUGAUCACUCGUCAUUGGCGACAUACUGUCAGUGACCAAGCGAAAGUGUUUAGUGAUCCACCUGGGGAGUACGUUCGCAAGAAUGAAACUCAAAGGAAUUGACGGGGGCCCGCACAAGCGGUGGAGCAUGUGGUUUAAUUCGAUGAUACGCGAGGAACCUUACCAGGGCUUGAACGCAUUUUGACAGGCUGGGAAACCAGUCCUUCUUCGGACAAUUUGCGAGGUGCUGCAUGGUUGUCGUCAGCUCGUGCCG